UACGAAGGGGGCUAGCGUUGCUCGGAAUUACUGGGCGUAAAGCGCACGUAGGCGGCUUCUUAAGUCGGGGGUGAAAUCCUGGAGCUCAACUCCAGAACUGCCUUCGAUACUGGGAGCUCGAGUUCGGGAGAGGUGAGUGGAACUGCGAGUGUAGAGGUGAAAUUCGUAGAUAUUCGCAAGAACACCAGUGGCGAAGGCGGACU
rnacentral:rRNA from 1 species